UACAGAGGUCUCAAGCGUUGUUCGGAUUCAUUGGGCGUAAAGGGUGCGUAGGCGGCGCGGUAAGUCGGGUGUGAAAUCUCGGAGCUUAACUCCGAAACUGCAUUCGAUACUGCCGUGCUUGAGGACUGGAGAGGAGACUGGAAUUUACGGUGUAGCGGUGAAAUGCGUAGAUAUCGUAAGGAAGACCAGUGGCGAAGGCGGCUCACUGGCCCGGUACUGACGCUGAGGUGCGAAGGUCAGGGGAGCAAACGGG
rnacentral:rRNA from 1 species